GAUGAACGCUGGCGGCGUGCCUAAUACAUGCAAGUCGAGCGAACGGACGAGAAGCUUGCUUCUCUAAUGUUAGCGGCGGACGGGUGAGUAACACGUGGAUAACCUACCUAUAAGACUGGGAUAACUUCGGGAAACCGUAGCUAAUACCGGAUAAUAUUUUGAACCGCAUGGUUCAAAGGUGAAAGACGGUCUUGCUGUCACUUAUAGAUGGAUCCGCGCUGCAUUAGCUAGUUGGUAAGGUAACGGCUUACCAAGGCAACGAUGCAUAGCCGACCUGAGAGGGUGAUCGGCCACACUGGAACUGAGACACGGUCCAGACUCCUACGGGAGGCAGCAGUAGGGAAUCUUCCGCAAUGGGCGAAAGCCUGACGGAGCAACGCCGCGUGAGUGAUGAAGGUCUUCGGAUCGUAAAACUCUGUUAUUAGGGAAGAACAUAUGUGUAAGUAACUGUGCACAUCUUGACGGUACCUAAUCAGAAAGCCACGGCUAACUACGUG
rnacentral:rRNA from 1 species